rnacentral:rRNA from 1 species
GCGCUGGCGCAGCUACCAUGCAGUCGAGCGGUAACAGGGGUAGCUUGCUACCCGCUGACGAGCGGCGGACGGGUGAGUAAUGCAUAGGAAACUGCCCAGUAGUGGGGGAUAGCCCGGGGAAACCCGGAUUAAUACCGCAUACGUCCUUCGGGAGAAAGCAGGGGAUCUUCGGACCUUGCGCUAUUGGAUGUGCCUAUGUCGGAUUAGCUGGUUGGUGAGGUAAUGGCUCACCAAGGCGACGAUCCGUAGCUGGUCUGAGAGGAUGAUCAGCCACAUCGGGACUGAGACACGGCCCGAACUCCUACGGGAGGCAGCAGUGGGGAAUAUUGGACAAUGGGGGCAACCCUGAUCCAGCCAUGCCGCGUGUGUGAAGAAGGCUUUCGGGUUGUAAAGCACUUUCAGUGAGGAGGAAAAGUUAGUCCUUAAUACGGGCUAGCCUUGACGUUACUCACAGAAGAAGCACCGGCUAACUCCGUGCCAGCAGCCGCGGUAAUACGGAGGGUGCAAGCGUUAAUCGGAAUUACUGGGCGUAAAGCGCGCGUAGGUGGUUUGAUAAGCGAGAUGUGAAAGCCCCGGGCUUAACCUGGGAACGGCAUUUCGAACUGUCAGGCUAGAGUGUGGUAGAGGGUAGUGGAAUUUCCUGUGUAGCGGUGAAAUGCGUAGAUAUAGGAAGGAACACCAGUGGCGAAUGCGGCUACCUGGACCAACACUGACACUGAGGUGCGAAAGCGUGAGGAGCAAACAGGAUUAGAUACCCUGGGUAGUCA